rnacentral:tRNA from 1 species
CAGAAAGUAGUUUAUUUAAAAUUUUAAUUUUGGAGAUUAAAGAUAGAGUUAUUUUACUUUUUUUCUGA